rnacentral:rRNA from 1 species
AUGGUACUGUAAGAAUAAGGGUCGGCUAACUUCGUGCCAGCAGCCGCGGUAAUACGAAAGACCCAAGCGUUAUCCGGAUUUAUUGGGUUUAAAGGGUGCGUAGGCGGAUUUGUAAGUCAGUGGUGAAAGCCCGUCGCUUAACGGCGGAACUGCCAUUGAUACUGCAAGUCUUGAGUAUGGUUGAGGUGGGCGGAAUGUGUCAUGUAGCGGUGAAAUGCUUAGAUAUGACACAGAACACCGAUUGCGAAGGCAGCUCGCUAAGCCAUAACUGACGCUGAGGCACGAAAGCGUGGGGAGCAAACAGGAUUAGAUACCCUGGUAGUCCACGCCCUAAACGAUGAUAACUCGAUGUUGGCGAUACACAGUCAGCGUCUAAGCGAAAGCAUUAAGUUAUCCACCUGGGAAGUACGACCGCAAGGUUGAAACUCAAAGGAAUUGACGGGGGCCCGCACAAGCGGAGGAGCAUGUGGUUUAAUUCGAUGAUACGCGAGGAACCUUACCUGGGCUUGAAAGUUAGUGACCGUCCCUGAAAGGGGACCUUCAGCAAUG